UUUAAUUCGAAGCAACGCGAAGAACCUUACCAGGUCUUGACAUCCUCUGACAACCCUAGAGAUAGGGCUUCUCCUUCGGGAGCAGAGUGACAGGUGGUGCAUGGUUGUCGUCAGCUCGUGUCGUGAGAUGUUGGGUUAAGUCCCGCAACGAGCGCAACCCUUGAUCUUAGUUGCCAUCAUUUAGUUGGGCACUCUAAGGUGACUGCCGGUGACAAACCGGAGGAAGGUGGGGAUGACGUCAAAUCAUCAUGCCCCUUAUGACCUGGGCUACACACGUGCCACAAUGGACGGUACAAAGAGCUGCAAGACCGCGAGGUGGAGCUAAUCUCAUAAAACCGUUCUCAGUUCGGAUUGUAGGCUGCAACUCGCCUACAUGAAGCUGGAAUCGCUAGUAAUCGCGGAUCAGCAUGCCG
rnacentral:rRNA from 1 species